UACGUAGGGGGCUAGCGUUGUCCGGAAUCAUUGGGCGUAAAGCGCACGUAGGCGGCCCGGUAAGUCCGCUGUAAAAGUCAAAGGCUCAACCUUUGAAUGUCAGUGGAUACUGCCGGGCUAGAGUCCGGAAGAGGCGAGUGGAACUCCUGGUGUAGCGGUGGAAUGCGCAGAUAUCAGGAAGAACACCGACGGCGAAGGCAGCUCGCUGGGGACGGUACUGACGCUGAGGCGCGAAAAGCGUGGGGGAGCGAACAGG
rnacentral:rRNA from 1 species